GUCUGGCAUGUAACAGCCGCUAGAUGAGUAUGAGGUGGGGUGGAUAGGCGUUACUUCUUCCUCGCCGCCCACCUUCCCACACCGCCCAGAUUAUCAACACCAUUAAUGGAGGGCUGUGACUUUCUCAUUCACCAUUUACACCCACCCGUGGUACCAUGGCGGGAAUAUGGAACUCACUCAAUGGAUGUCUAUAAGAUGGAUGAACGAGAAAAUGAAUUGAGUGAGCGAGUGGAUGAUUUCACAGAACUGCUGUGUCCCGGACCAAAUACAGGAUCAAACCUUGACCCUGUGCAAUUCCAGAUAUGACCAACAGAGGGUGCACUGCUCUGAGGUUCAUAAAGAUAACGCGAUUUCUGUCCUUAAAGCUUGAAAACCAGCUGAGUGACUGAUGCUAUCCGGCACGUGGCUUCAGACCAGGUGGCACCUUAGAAUCGAGUUGCUUUCUCCAGACGCCUGACCCAUCACAGCCGUAGGCCUUCCUGAGUCUGAUCGGUGCUACAGAGAUGGGAUUUGAGGCCUGCAUUGCCACUGGGUUCACUCUGCCACCUCCUACACCAUCCUGGCCCAGACCCUAAUGUGGCCUUCUAUCUGAUUGCUGUUCCAGAAGUGGAGGAGGAGAAGCUGCCCCUCCCUGGUGUAGGAUCACCUACUCACCGCGGGCUCAGGUCAGUUCUCCAUGCCUCUCAGCCCUGCC
rnacentral:lncRNA from 1 species